GGAGCUUACCAGACUAGCAAUACAGAAUGCCUGUCACUCGGCACGCUGUAAAGCGAACCUUUAAAAUGUUUGGACGCGGGUUCGACUCCCGCCGUCUCCA
rnacentral:tRNA from 3 species